CCUACGGGAGGCAGCAGUGGGGAAUAUUGGACAAUGGGGGGAACCCUGAUCCAGCCAUGCCGCGUGUGUGAAGAAGGCCCUCGGGUUGUAAAGCACUUUCAGUGAGGAAGAACGCCUGGUGGUUAAUACCCAUCAGGAAAGACAUCACUCACAGAAGAAGCACCGGCUAACUCCGUGCCAGCAGCCGCGGUAAUACGGAGGGUGCGAGCGUUAAUCGGAAUUACUGGGCGUAAAGCGCGCGUAGGUGGCUUGAUAAGCCGGUUGUGAAAGCCCCGGGCUCAACCUGGGAACGGCAUCCGGAACUGUCAAGCUAGAGUGCAGGAGAGGAAGGUAGAAUUCCCGGUGUAGCGGUGAAAUGCGUAGAGAUCGGGAGGAAUACCAGUGGCGAAGGCGGCCUUCUGGACUGACACUGACACUGAGGUGCGAAAGCGUGGGUAGCAAACGGGAUUAGAUACCCCAGUAGUC
rnacentral:rRNA from 1 species